rnacentral:rRNA from 1 species
CCUACGGGAGGCAGCAGUGGGGAAUAUUGGACAAUGGGCGAAAGCCUGAUCCAGCCAUGCCGCGUGUGUGAAGAAGGCCUUCGGGUUGUAAAGCACUUUCAGUGGGGAAGAAAGCCUUGGGGCUAAUACCCUCGAGGAAGGACAUCACCCACAGAAGAAGCACCGGCUAACUCCGUGCCAGCAGCCGCGGUAAUACAGGAGGGUGCGAGCGUUAAUCGGAAUUACUGGGCGUAAAGCGCGCGUAGGCGGUCUGAUAAGCCGGUUGUGAAAGCCCCGGGCUCAACCUGGGAACGGCAUCCGGAACUGUCAGGCUAGAGUGCAGGAGAGGAAGGUAGAAUUCCCGGUGUAGCGGUGAAAUGCGUAGAGAUCGGGAGGAAUACCAGUGGCGAAGGCGGCCUUCUGGACUGACACUGACGCUGAGGUGCGAAAGCGUGGGUAGCAAACAGGAUUAGAUACCCCGGUAGUC